rnacentral:rRNA from 1 species
UGAGUAACCUGCCCUUCACUCUGGGAUAACUCCGGGAAACCGGGGCUAAUACUGGAUAUGACUCCUCAUCGCAUGGUGGGGGGUGGAAAGCUUUUUGUGGUUUUGGAUGGACUCGCGGCCUAUCAGCUUGUUGGUGAGGUAAUGGCUCACCAAGGCGACGACGGGUAGCCGGCCUGAGAGGGUGACCGGCCACACUGGGACUGAGACACGGUCCAGACUCCGUACGGGAGGCA